rnacentral:rRNA from 1 species
GUGGGGAAUUUUGGACAAUGGGCGAAAGCCUGAUCCAGCCAUGCCGCGUGCAGGAUGAAGGCCUUCGGGUUGUAAACUGCUUUUGUACGGAACGAAAAGACUCCUUCUAAUAAAGGGGGUCCAUGACGGUACCGUAAGAAUAAGCACCGGCUAACUACGUGCCAGCAGCCGCGGUAAUACGUAGGGUGCAAGCGUUAAUCGGAAUUACUGGGCGUAAAGCGUGCGCAGGCGGUUAUAUAAGACAGAUGUGAAAUCCCCGGGCUCAACCUGGGAACUGCAUUUGUGACGGUAUAGCUAGAGUACGGUAGAGGGGGAUGGAAUUCCGCGUGUAGCAGUGAAAUGCGUAGAUAUGCGGAGGAACACCGAUGGCGAAGGCAAUCCCCUGGACCUGUACUGACGCUCAUGCACGAAAGCGUGGGGAGCAAACAGGAUUAGAAACCCUUGUAGUCC